rnacentral:rRNA from 1 species
AAACCAACAGGGAUUGCCUCAGUAACGGCGAGUGAAGCGGCAAAAAGCUCAAAUUUGAAAUCCCCCCGGGGAAUUGUAAUUUGAAGAUUGUGUUUUGGAAACGACCGUGUCUAUGUUCCUUGGAACAGGACGUCACAGAGGGUGAGAAUCCCGUGCGGCACGGCCACCGUUUCCUUAUAAAACACUCUCGACGAGUCGAGUUGUUUGGGAAUGCAGCUCAAAGUGGGUGGUAAAUUCCAUCUAAAGCUAAAUACAGGCGAGAGACCGAUAGCGAACAAGUACAGUGAUGGAAAGAUGAAAAGCACUUUGAAAAGAGAGUGAAACAGUACGUGAAAUUGUUGAAAGGGAAGGGCAUGCCGUCAGAUUGUCAGUGUGGGUAAGAAGCGGGGUACAAAGACUGUGGAACGUGGCCCUCGGGUGUUAUAGCCACAGUUCAUCCCCCGUCUCUUUCCGAGGCCUGCUUUGAGGACACCGACGUAAUGACCGGUACGCCCCCCGUCUUGAAACCACGGA